UGGGGGUUGCAGUUGAUUGAGGGAAUGGUCGGGACUGUUGAAUAUUACGCCACGCGAUAUUUAUGUUUGCUUGGUUAGGAUUGGAUCGGAUUGUCGUUUGUUGACGGGUACAUAUUUUUUUCUCUGCAUGUUUUUUGUUCCGCUCUAUCUCCAGUCGUCUUUUUUUCAACACUGGACCUGGAGCUUUUGUGCUGUCAAACCUAUCAUUCUUGUUUCGGGAUGAGAAAUUUCAUCCCUGCUCCUUAUUCACCAGCAUGAACAUCAUCAAUUCUCAUCAUUUUCUUUCGAAACUCGUCUUGCUGAGAGAGCAUUUUUUGGCAUUCUCCAUUUACCCCCGGGUUCGGAUGACUUUUUAAUAUCCUGUUGCUAACUCUUAUACAUACUACACGCCGUAUUUCAGCGCAUUCUUUCUUCCUUUUCUCCAUCUUUUGCAGCAUACUUUCGAUACGUUUUUAACAAUUCAACCCGUUCUCCACGCCAUUGUGGGUUAGGGAAUCCAUAACAGUUCAACUCAUCAUCCCCUUCUGCUAAAUUCGACGGUAUUGUUUCCUUUACUUAGAUCAUCACAUGGUGGACCACCUCAUGGAUUGUUUUGGACGUUUCCCACGGUUUAACGCUUUUCAUAUUUAUAUAUAUAUAUAUAUAUAUAUAUUCAUCGCGCCAAUAAUUUAUAAAAACUCAACUCCACGUCUCUUAUAUAUAUAACUCUAUUCUUGUGGUUAUCCCAAUAUCUCUGCAGGUUACGCGAAAUGACUUUGGUUAUUCCACGGUUUAUGAUGAUGUGUCCUCCGCAAAGUGCGAUUUUGCUGUGCGGAUUUUUAUAUAUUUACGUGAUGAAGAUGUGAGAGAUUCGGGUGCUGAAUUUAAGCGAGCAGAUUCUUUCUUUCUUUCUUUAAUUAUAUUUAAUUUUUCUUCAAUAUCAAUAUCGAAAGGAUUCAUGAUGGCAGAUAUUCGUCGUUGAAAGACCAUACAAUAAACCUGGCUGGAUAUUCCCAAAUAGAACAGCAUGUGAUAUCAGUGAACCGAGAAAAUGAAAAAAAAAAAAAAAAAAA
rnacentral:sRNA from 1 species